GGAUUAGAUACCCUGGUAGUCCACGCCGUAAACGAUGUCAACUAGCCGUUGGUCCUAUUAAAAGGAUUAGUGGCGCAGCUAACGCGAUAAGUUGACCGCCUGGGGAGUACGGCCGCAAGGCUAAAACUCAAAUGAAUUGACGGGGGCCCGCACAAGCGGUGGAGCAUGUGGUUUAAUUCGAUGCAACGCGAAGAACCUUACCAUCCCUUGACAUCCUCAGAACUUGUAAGAGAUUACUUGGUGCCUUCGGGACCUGAGUGACAGGUGCUGCAUGGCUGUCGUCAGCUCGUGCCG
rnacentral:rRNA from 1 species